AGCUUUAUAGUCAAAAAUGAUAUUAAAUUGCAAGUUUAAAGGAGUAUAAAUACUAAGGCUU
rnacentral:tRNA from 1 species